rnacentral:lncRNA from 1 species
AUGGGGACUGAGGUUUCCCAGAAGCCGACAACAUCUGCCUUGAAGGCCUCUGGCUUUGGGAGCAACGUGGGCAGGUGGUGCUGCCGCUGCUUCCCCUGCUGCGGGAGCUGCAGGCAGGACGGCGGGGGCUGCGGAGUAGAGCACUGUGACAGCGCCUUCCUGGAGCCUGGGUACCACGUCUGUCCGGAAGAUCUAGGCGAUCUCCACAGAGCUGCCUGGUGGGGCGCAGUCCCCAGAGUGGAGCUCAUCCUCAUGCUCAGGGACCCUGGCUUGGACAGGAGAGACAAGAAGAAGAGGACUGCUCUACAUUUGGCCUGUGCCAAUGGCCAUCCAGAAGUGGUAAAACUCCUGCUGCACAGAAAAUGUCAACUUCACAUCUUGGAUGGGGAAAAGAGGACAGCUCUCAUAAAGGCUGUCCAAUGUCAGGAAGAGGAAUGUGCAACUAUUUUACUAGAACAUGGCACUGAUCCAAAUAUCCCAGAUGUCUAUGGCAACACUACUCUACAUUAUGCCAUCUAUAAUGAGGAUAAAUCAAUGACAAAAAAACUACUUUCUUAUGGUGCAAAUAUUGAAUCAGAAAACAAGGGUGGACUUACACCAUUUUUACUUGCCGUACAUGAACAAAAACAGCAAAUGGUGGAAUUUUUAGUAAAGAAGAAAGCAAAUUUAAAUGCUGUGGACAACUUUAAAAGAACAGCCCUCAUACUUGCUGUACGUUGUGGAUCAGAAAUUAUGGUCAGCAUUCUUCUUCAGCUAAAUAUUGAUGUAUUUUCUCAAGAUAUAUAUGGACGAACAGCAGGGGACUAUGCUGUUUCUAGGCAUUAUAUUAAGUAAGUGUUUACAUUGAAAGGCUAUUAACACUAAAAUGUUAAGGUUUACAAUACUUAUAAGUAUCAAA